GGCUUUUAAAGAAUCAAAGCAGCCUUAUUGCGGGAUGAUAUUAGAAAGAUUAAAUAUGGAAGUGUAUGAAGUGAUUAUUUCGGAGUGCAAGAUUCAUUUCACUAACUAUCGUUAAGGAUUUUUUCCUCGCCAUGGACUCUAACGGAGACCUGCCGACUGAAACCCCGUUCACUAUUUCCGGGUCGAAUGGAAAUGAUCACUGGCAACGGGGUGGUAAUGUGGUGAGGCCUGCGCAGGUGAAACACGCCUUUGAACAACCUGGAUUUAAUACAGUGCAGUCAGACAUAUGCCCGGCCUGUAGGACUGGGACAUUGGAACCUGACUGCACAGCCUUAACAACGCUUGCCUGCUGCCUGCUUGGACCCUGUUCUGCACCCUGCUUUAUGCAAAACAGAUGCCCCAGAUGUGGCUACCUUGAUAGCUCAGCGUGCUGUUAAAAGAGUCUCAUGGCUAGAUCAAGGAAAAGCUCUUAGCUUGGAUAAGAGCGAGGAUCAUUAUUGUAUAAUAUUUGUCUGUUGUUUAUAUUUUACUUUGAUGGAAGCUGGUCAGGGUAAGUGAUUUGAGCUUGUGUCUUUGUGAAGAACUAUUUGAAAAUGUGUUGAUAAUGGCCAAAACUAGAUAGUAGACAGAGAACACAAUUCAUAAUCAGUGCCCUCUUCAAAGUUAAAAGAAUAAAAAUAGAAUAAAAAUAAAAUAAUAAAAUAUAAUAAUGAUAACCAUACUAAAAUAGGGAAAGCUAUGAUGAAAACACACUACUGCUGGUGAAGUUAGUAUUACUACAAAUAGUUAAUAAGGACGAUUGAAUACUAAGUUUUCACAAUGGAGAACGUGGUAUUUAUACGUAAUUAUAAUAAUACCAUGUUAUUGCUAUGAACUUAAAUUUAUGCAAAUAUGCUAAGUACAAAAACGUUAAUAUUAAUGACAGUAAUUAUAUGUUUCGUAUUCAUAUCUACGUAAUCAUACUGUAGUUGGAUUUUUACUUAUAGGCAAUAGUGUAUUUUACAA